GACGGAGGAUGCAAGCGUUAUCCGGAAUGAUUGGGCGUAAAGCGCCCGCAGGUGGCAGUUCAAGUCUGCUGUCAAAGACCGGGGCUUAACUUCGGAAAGGCAGUGGAAACUGAACAGCUAGAGUAUGGUAGGGGCAGAGGGAAUUCCUGGUGUAGCGGUGAAAUGCGUAGAGAUCAGGAAGAACAUCGGUGGCGAAGGCGCUCUGCUGGACCAUAACUGACACUCAGGGACGAAAGCUAGGGGAGCGAAUGGG
rnacentral:rRNA from 1 species